CAGUAGCCGCGGUAAUACGAAGGGUGCAAGCGUUACUCGGAAUUACUGGGCGUAAAGCGUGCGUAGGUGGUGGUUUAAGUCCGUUGUGAAAGCCCUGGGCUCAACCUGGGAAUUGCAGUGGAUACUGGGUCACUAGAGUGUGGUAGAGGAUAGUGGAAUUUCCGGUGUAGCAGUGAAAUGCGUAGAGAUCGGAAGGAACAUCUGUGGCGAAGGCGACUAUCUGGGCCAACACUGACACUGAGGCACGAAAGCGUGGGGAGCAAACAGGAUUAGAUACCGCGUAGUCCCUGUCUCUUAUACA
rnacentral:rRNA from 1 species